rnacentral:lncRNA from 1 species
GAAACAUGGAGUGAGGACGGGGCUGCUGGUUGAGAGGGGCUGGUCUAGGCCAAUACUCUGCUCUUCUGUGCUAAGGACUGGAUUCGGGAUGAGGGACAGGGGAGGAGGAUGGGCGCCACAAGCAGCCCCGGAAAUCCACGGCAUCUCAGGCACACGUUCAGGCGGCCGUGCAUCUUUCAGCAAAUGUUUACCCUGCACAGCUCCGUGCAGACACCGCGCUAGGUGUGUAAAUACAGCCGUGAACAAGAUGGUAGCCCUGGCUUUUCACUUUCUUCUUCUUCUUCUUUUUUGUCUUUUUGCCUUUUCUAGGGCCGCUCCCAUGGCACAUGGAGGUUCCGGGGCUAGGGGAAGCCUCCGCCAGAGUCCACAGCAACGCCAGAUCUGAGCCCUUUCUGUGACCUACACCACAGCUCACGGCAUCACUGGAUCCUUAACCCACUGAGCAAGGCCAGGGAUGGAACCCGCAACCUCAUGGUUCCUGGUCAGAUUCGUUAACCACUGAGCCACGACGGGAACUCCCUUCACUUUCUUUUUAACAUAAGCCACUUUGUUUUAUUUUGGCUUUUUUGGCCACAGCUGUGACUUAUGGAAGCGUCCGGGCCAGGGAUCGAACCAGUACCACAACAGCGAACUGAGCCACAGCAGUAACAACAACGGACCCUUAAAACUAGCCAUUUUAUCAUCNUUUUUUUUUUUUUUUUUUUUUUUUUUUUAUCUUUUGGCCGUUCUGCAGCACAUGGACUUCCCAGGCCAGGGACUGAAUCUUAGCCAGAGUUUUGACCUACACCCCAGCUGCGGCGGCAACGCCAGAUCCUUAACCCUCUACACCAGGCCUGGGAACAAACCCAAGUCCCUGCCACUCCAGAGAUGCCGCUGAUCCCGUUGCACUACAGGGGGAACUCCCCCAACUAGCCACCUUAUUGUGUGCAAUUCAGCAGCAUCAAGUAUAUUUACAUAGUUGUGAAAUCAUUUUCACCAACCAUCUCAAAAACAUUUUUCUCUUUCCCCCAAAGGAAACCCUGUAGGUUUCAAGCAAUCGGUCCAGCCCCCCUCCACCCGCAUCCUGGCAACCACUAGUCUACUUUCUGUUUCUGCGGAUUUGCCUCUUCCGGACAUUUCAAAUAAAUAGAAUCAUACAAUAUGUGGACUUUUGUGC